CGUAAAGCGCGCGUAGGCGGUUAUUUAAGUGAGGUGUGAAAUACCCUGGGCUCAACCUAGGAACUGCAUUUCAAACUGGAUAACUUGAGUAUGUCAGAGGGUAUUGGAAUUUCCCCGUGUAGCAGUGAAAUGCGUAGAUAUGGGAAGGAACAUCAGUGGCGAAGGCGAAUACCUGGGAUAAUACUGACGCUGAGGUGCGAAAGCGUGGGGAGCAAACGGGAUUAGAUACCCUGGUAG
rnacentral:rRNA from 1 species